GCAGGAAUUCUGACUCAGGUCUACUCCCCUCAUUCCCUGACUCCACAGUACAGGCCCUUCCCAGUGAUCUGUAAGUGUAACUUUUUACACAAAGGCAAAAGCACAGUAGGAUCAAAGAACUUCUAGUGUUGUGUAAUGGUUGUUAACACAACUGAAAUACUCCCAGUGACUUGCCUGAAUCUGUCUGAGGCUAAGACUCUCAUUCUGACACUAACCUGGGAGAAGCCACUUCUCUUUCAACAAAAGGUCCACUUUUCUCUUUGAGGACUAUGAUGAAAAUGCAAAUCAACAAAGACUGAGUAUUUAUAAUCAGUACGCUGACUCUGCUAAAAGCUGCAAUUGAUAGAAAGAUGUGUAAAAUAGGAACUAUUUCCAGUGAAGAGGAGAAUAUGGCCCAAUGCCCAUAACGUCUAUACCUGGAACCAAAAAAAUUCUGCUACUGCCCUCCCCACUUUCCAUCUCAUACAAGCUGAACUGUUUUGCAAUAAAAACAAAAGAGCAAUUGAGAAUUCAUCUGUAUCAAGAGAAUAUAAGUUCUCAGAUGAGCUUCUGAAAACACCUCAUUUUCUGAAUUAAUUAAUUAAAAACUUCAAACAAUU